CAUCUGUGCCAGGCCAAGGAGACAGAUUGGAGAUGCUGCUGCUGUACCACCCAGGGGCCUUCCUGACUGAACUGGCAGAGGCAGUAUUUAGUAUGGUGUUGUCCUCGGACUUUAGUGUCCAUGCUGAGGGUGCUUCCACUGGUAUGGCUCAAGACUUCAAUACCUCCAUGGCAACCAUGGAGUUGUCUCGACUGAUCAUUGGCCUGUCACAUACUGCAGGACAUACUCUUGAUUUGAUCUUUGCUCUGGUGGGGUUGGUGACUGGUUAGGAUAGACUUCCCUGAACACUAAUGGAUUCCUGAACACUCCGGGGGAUUUUCUGGUGGAUCCUGUUAAGGCCCUCAUCUCACUGUAGAAUGAUGAAAUGCAGAAGGCCAUCGGUACAAUGGCUCCUGAGUGCCCUCUCUGUUGUUGUUGACUAUAUUUGGCUCACUGGUAUACUACAUGCUGUGAAGGUGGCAAAGACAAGAGCAUAUAACUGUGCCUACUGUGCAGCAGUGAAAACAGAUCCAGCAGAGCUCUUCAAGGUGGUCUGUCAGCUGUUGACAUCUGUAUCGUUUGAUGGAACCUGUAACACAUCCAAAUCCCCCUGUGAGUUUCUUGCUAUGCGUUUUGAGGACAAAGCCGUUCACCUGUGUAUAAGGCAAGGCAAGAAUUCCAUUGGUGCAUAAAAUACCUUUUGGAAGGAGAUAACGGAACC